rnacentral:rRNA from 1 species
CCUACGGGGGGCUGCAGUGGGGAAUAUUGGACAAUGGGGGCAACCCUGAUCCAGCCAUGCCGCGUGUGUGAAGAAGGCCCUCGGGUUGUAAAGCACUUUCAGUGAGGAAGAACGCCUGGUGGUUAAUACCCAUCAGGAAAGACAUCACUCACAGAAGAAGCACCGGCUAACUCCGUGCCAGCAGCCGCGGUAAUACGGAGGGUGCGAGCGUUAAUCGGAAUUACUGGGCGUAAAGCGCGCGUAAGUGGCUUGAUAAGCCGGUUGUGAAAGCCCCGGGCUCAACCUGGGAACGGCAUCCGGAACUGUCAAGCUAGAGUGCAGGAGAGGAAGGUAGAAUUCCCGGUGUAGCGGUGAAAUGCGUAGAGAUCGGGAGGAAUACCAGUGGUGAAGGCGGCCUUCUGGACUGACACUGACACUGAGGUGCGAAAGCGUGGGUAGCAAACAGGAUUAGAUACCCCUGUAGUC